GUAGAGUCUAACCAACACUGAAGUAUUGUAAUUUGCAACAUACUUCCAUCGUUGACAUCAUGGUAUAGUGGUAAAGACUCAGGCCAUCAUGAGCGAAAGUUGUGGACCAUUCCCAGGUAAAAUUCUCGUACUUUUUUGUAUAAUUUUUUUCUUUAUUUCUUUUUGCCAUUAUUUUCCCCAAAAGUCUCCAAAUCGCUCCUCAUAACAC